rnacentral:tRNA from 1 species
GUCGCGCUGGCUGAUGGAGCGGCGGCCGUUCUCGAGACGGCUGAUCUUGGACUGGGAGACGAGGAGGCGCUCGGCCACCUGCUCGGCC